rnacentral:rRNA from 1 species
GCCCUUGGAAGGGGUGUAUUUAUUAGAUUAAAAACCAAUGCCCUUUAGGAUGAUGCGCUCAUUCAUGAUAACUCCUCGAUGUAUGCUCGUAGAUGCUGCUGAUGGUUCAUUCAAAUUUCUUCCCUAUCAGCUUUCGAUGUUUGGGUAUUUAGAUCGCUGGUUUGCAACGGGUAACGGAGGGAUCGCUGUAAGUGCUCCGUAAGGAGCCUGAGAAACGGCAUGGCUCCGUGAUGUGGGCAGCAGGCGCGCAAAUUACCCAAUCCCGACACGGGGAGGUAGUGACAAUAAAUACUGAUACAGGGCUCUUUUGAUGCAUCGCUGAUGAUUAGUCCGUGAGUGAAUCCCUUAACGAGGAACAAUUGGAGGGCAAGUCUGGUGCCAGCAGCCGCGGAUGGUCGCUCGUCAAUAGCGUGUAUUAAAGUUGUUGUGGUUAAAAAUGCUCGCUGAUAGUCUUGGGUAGUCGCUCGUGAUAGUGCUCACCGCGUGUACUGGUCCGGCCGGGCCUUUCCCUCUGUGGAACCCCAUGCCCUUCACUGGGUGUGGCGGGGAACCAGGACUUUUACAAGGGCAUGCUCGUAGUAGAAU